UAGGAGAAAGGGAAGGACACGUGCAUGAUCCGUACAGAAGCCAAGUAGGGGCAGCACGUGCGAAGGGUUAACGCGUGUGUGGAAGGUAAACAGUCAAAAUGAAGAAGCAUUAGAAAAAUCAAUGGAUGGCCUGCAACUACACUGGGAAGCUUCUGCAAUAACUUUUCUCCUCCUUUGUUCUAUUUGUUCUUACUGGAAAGCAUGACCCUUUUGAGUGAACUCAAGGGAAUGCCUUGAAAUUAAGGGAAACGGAAAUUGUAUGAGAUAGAAGAAAAAGUAACACAGGUUUUUCAUAUUAA